UUGUGAUGACACUGAUGUGGAAUUGCAGGCACAAUGGGUGUGGUGGAAGCUUGCCCAGCUGAUUGUGCUUGGCCUAACAUGCAAAAGAGGCACAUCUCAGUCUUGUCUGAUACUGCAAGAAAUGAGACUCGGGACAUCUGAGGCAGGGUGGAAACUGUGGCUCAGACCAAGCACCUGUUUUUGCAGGAUGGUGUGAACUUGGGAUUGCGUAGCCCAUUCAGAUCUCCAUAGUACCCCGAAUGCUAGGUGCACUGAGAUUCCCUGCUUGCUAUCAGCUGAAGAGCUCCAAGUCCCUGUGGACUGUCAAUGGCUAGGCAGUGCAUCCAGACCAAAAUGAGAAAAACAUUUCCAUACUGCACACUGAUAGUGACUAAUUGCCUGUGCUGAGGAGAACUACAUUCUGUGCUGAAGAAGUAUUUAAACACAUAAAGUGGCACCAAAUUAUGUCAGGUAAAACUGAAAUAAAUUCCACUGCUUCUAAUAAAAGACCUGGCUUCUGUUGGGGAUCUUGUGGGUCACUGGGCUGUAGUUGUUUGCCAUACCCCUGCAUGGUAGCCAUCCAGAUGGUGGGCUUUUUAUUUUUCUUCUCAGAGUACAAGUCCUUCUGGCAUUAGUUACAACUGUAAAGGGAUAUACACCAACAGGAACAAUUACUUAAGAAAGGAAAUUAGUAAACAGGUUGGACUGGAAUAUGUCAGGAAGUGUGUGGGGGAGAAGACUGAAUGCUCUAUGUUAUAACUGCAAGGCCUGGGAAUAUGUAUCUACCCUCUGCUUCAGCCAUGGGAUGUAGCAUCUGCUCACCUGUUCACAUGUGGUAUCCCACAUAGCCCAGUGAGCAAUCAUUGUUAGCUUUGUUUUGCAAAGCAGAAAUUACAUGUUUAAUUCAGUGUGAAGAUUCUGAGAUAAAAGCAGAUUCCUUUUGAUCUCUAAUGGAUCAGAAAUAAGUGCCUAAACUUUGAAGAACAAGGGCACUUUGUACCAGCUAGUUUGGGCAUCUCUCUCUUACCAUCUGCUAUGAAGCCCAUUUUGAGAUGAGUUUAGCCCAAAAGGUGCUUAAAAGCUUGGCACUGCAAGAGCUGCAUAUCUGUGGUUUUAGUUUCUGAGCCAAAAUCCUCCUUUUUGAUUGCCUAAAUAUGCUUAGUGCCUCUAAAAAUCAGGUCACGUACUAACUUCUUAUAUAUGAAUAUGGCAUCUGCAGCCUUUACCAACAACAAGUUUCUAUUUUCUUCCAUCUCAUUGAUAAAGAUAUUGAAUAGCACAGAACUAAGAAUAGAUCAAUGUGGAACCCCAUUAUAUAAUGAUGCCCUCCAUGCAAUUACUUUUUAGCUGUAUCAGCAGUUUCAGGCCAGUUAAAAUGUACUACAUAGA